AUAGGUAAAUGGUGAGGUUUGGUUUUUGCCGCGUGGGUGAGGGAUGCUGAGUCACUGAAUGGCCACUCUUGUAAACCAAAAAUUUUGCUUUUGUCAUAACCUUUCCAGGGCCUUGGCUGGGAAUUAUUCCAAGUGCUCCUGCCCUGUACUGGAGUCGCACCUGUAGACCAAACAGCUGCUUCCAAAGAAAAAUGAUGAGCCUUAAGUUUGAAGGAGUCCAUGGAGCAAAGGGCAGCAGCAGCAGCACUGGAGCAGCGAAGCCACCUCCUUUCCACCCCAGUGCCCGACGGGGUCUCUGCGUGUUCCUGUGCCCCAUGAGUCCCUGCCACCAGCACCAUGUGGUCACCAGCUCCUCCGCUCAUCCCAAACCUUCCCAGCUCACGAUGUUUGUCUUUAAUGACAAUUUUAAAGACCACGCUGGGAUUUCAGCAAAUCGCCCGCAGACCUGGCAUCCUCGGAGAGAUAACAGCGCAGCUUCACGGCAGGCUGAGAAAUUCAGCUACUGACACCCAUUGUGCCGGGCACAGCCACGACCUCGAGGGGAUUUAGCCCUUGUAUUGGGGAUUUCUGCAACAUAGCGACCAGGAGCCAGUCAAAGCCCGUGAAAUCACACCCACAGCCUCAGGGUAAGGAGCUCAGAAUAAAAGGAAAGGAAGGGAGAGGAGGAAGAAAGGG
rnacentral:lncRNA from 1 species